rnacentral:lncRNA from 1 species
CGGAUGGAUUCUGGAUGAGCUUCUAUGACAGACGAGCUUCCGCAACUGGGUCCCUGCGGUAGCCGAUCGCCUCCGAUGUCUGCCGAGCCUCCCCAGCACUAUCCGAAGUCUAUCGCCAGCCGACCUCCUAUCGGGCUCCCCAUAAAACUGGACUUCCCCGACGGACGAUCUUUAGAUGAGCUUCCACAUCAGAUAAAUCUCAGACGGACUUCCCUAGU